rnacentral:lncRNA from 10 species
UUGAGAAGCUGCGAAGAUGGCGGAGUAAGGCGUGCCGCUGCAAACUGGCCUCUGGGCCGGGGGCGAGCAGCCCCCGGGAGGCCGAGUGCAUCUGUUGGACCGUGCGAGGAGAAGAAAAAAAAUAUCGGCCAGAGGAGAGGAACUAACCGAACAUUCUUCCUCCCUACCUUAUAGAGGGGAGUGGUCAUCUACACUAAAGCAAAGUGUUAGGCGCGUCCGUGCGAAGAGACCACCAAACAGGCUUUGUGUUCCUUAUCACAGGAAGAAAAUUUUCCUUGACCUUUAGGUGCUUUUAUAUUCAUCUCAAAAACAAAAUUCUGAACUCAGGACUUGGCAAGUGUCUCUAUGUUGUCUCCUAGAGUGGGUAGUCCUGCUUCUUUUACCCAGUUACUUUCCCGUUUUUGAAAUGUGGCUAUCACUUCUCUACACAUUACCUCCAUGAUUUGGAAUGGAAAAGGCCACUUUUCUUUUUGUUCUGCCUCUCAAAUUCAACACAGAGGAGCUCCUAGGAUUCCAGUUAUCCUGCUAACAUCUCCAGGAAGAAAGAAGCAACUCACAUGGGUCUUUUGCUGUUUGCUUAAUUAUAAAGACAUCAUUUUGCAAGCAGAAGGCUGAGUUUCAUUUGAAACAGGUGCUUAGGUGGUGGUAUUUGUGAAUACUUUUCAUUCCAAGCAAGAAGACUAAAGAAGUAGCAAGUAUGAAUGACUUCAGGGUUUAAAAAAAAUGUCUUCCAGUUUCAGCCACUACCAUGAUAAGCACAGUUGAGACUGCAGCAGUAAAUUCCAAAUAUGUGUUUCUAAUUUGACGUGAAAGAUACUAAAAAUUUAUAUUUGUAUAUUUAAAUCCUGGCUCAUCCUGUGACAUAGAUUUACUGAAUAGGAACAAAGGCCCAAUUUUAAACAAAAACCUAGGCCGGGUGUGGUGGCUCACACCUGUAAUCCCAACACUUUGGGAGGCCAAGGCAGGCAAAUCACCUGAGGUUGGGAGUUUGAGACCAGCCUGACCAACAUGGAGAAACCCCAUCUCUACUAAAAAUAGAAAAUUAGCCAGGUGUGGUGGUAGAUACGUGUAAUCCCAGCUACUCGUGAGGCUGAGGCAGGAGAAUUGCUUGAAUCCGGGAGGCGGAGGUUGCAGUGAACUGAGAUUGCACCACUGCACUCCAGCCUGGGCGACAGAGUGAGACUCCGUCUCAGAAAAAUAAAAAACAACUUUGGACAUAGAGGAGUUGGGGGCAGAGGGGGGAGGAUGAGAGAAUUUUCCAUGUAACUCCUUUUCCUUAAGAAAAAGAAGCAAAAAUCCCUCAUGCAGUGCCAUCUGACUUUAUGGUGUUUCACAUUAUAUAGUUACUUUUUUUAAUAAACGCAUAAGAUUAACUCUUCCUGCAACCCAAGGUGGAUACUUGGAUGUUUGAUUUUUAUUUAUUUAUUUAUUUAUUUUUUGAGGCAGUCUCUCUCUGUUGCCCAGGCUGGAGUGAUGCGUGAUUUCUGCUCACUGCAGUCUCUCCCACCCGGGUUCAAGCGAUUCUCCUGCCUCAGCCUCCCAAGUAGCUAGGAUUACAGGCGCGCACCACCACGCUCAGCCUGAUUUCUAGGCUGAAAAGGCUGGGACUCAGGUACUUUCCCCAGUUGGGACUGAACUUUCUCAUCAGAGAAUGGGCCUCAGAAGCAAUGUUCCCAAACUUGUGGUUGGGUCAUCGUGGAAAAGAAACCUCAAAUAAGAAAAAUAAUUACAAUAAGAAAUGGAUUUUCUUUUUUCCCACAACAGUUAUACAUUAUAAAGAACAGACUGUCGUAGAAAACUGUCUUUGCUUCCAAAUCAGCAGAGGACCAUUGUAUGUAUUGUCAGGUCUUUAUAUAAGAGUGAAACCUUUAUUUAUGCUUCUUGUGAGUAGAG